rnacentral:misc_RNA from 1 species
AAGUCGUAACAAGGUUUCCGUAGGUGAACCUGCGGAAGGAUCAUUAGAGAGAAAAACGCAUCAAAGCGCAUGAUUUAAUCUAUCACGCGCUUUCUUGCUAUUCUACUUUACACCUUUCACACUUGAACGCAUUGUGCAUUGGCCCCCUUAUUAAUCCUGGAAGUGGUUUGUCUCCGGACAGAGCUCUUUCAUUAUAUAUACGCGCUUCAUGUCUCGAAUGUCAAACAAAAACAAUAAUGAGUACAACUUUCAGCAACGGAUCUCUUGGCUCUC